UGUAGCAUGGCCGAGCGGUCUAAGGCUCCAGUCUCUUUGCAGGCAUGGGUUCAAAUCCCACUGCUGCCA
rnacentral:tRNA from 1 species